rnacentral:lncRNA from 1 species
CCCACGCCGCGUCCUUCGCCCUCCUCCCUGGGCGACGCUCGCCCCGCCGCCGCAUCGCCUCCUCGCCAGCCACGCCCGCCGGCCUCCUCCGCGAUCGCCGCCGCCCUCUCCAACGCGCCUCCACCUCGCAUCGGAUCGAUCAUCCACCUUCGCCCUCCUCCCUGCGUCGUCUCCUCGCCUCCUCACCUUCUCACCUCGCCGCCGCAUCGCCUCCUCAGCAGCCCCGUGCCACGCGCGCGCGUCCCGCGCGCGCGUCCCGCGCCGCCCUCGACCGCCGACGCUGCGACCCGCGCCGUCUCCUCGCUGCCGUCGCCGUGCCCCGAGUCCCGCGUCCCGCGCCGCCCUCGACCGCCGACGCGGGAGCAGGAGGUCACGCCGCGUCAACACCGCCGAGGAGCCGCUUCCUCGCCGCCGUCGCGACGACCCGCGCCGCCCUCGACUGCCGCCACCUCCGCCAGUCAUGAUCGCCUUCAUCUGAAGGCCGCCGACACCUCCGCCGGUCACGACCGCCACGGAGGUCGAUCCGUCGCCUCUGCCUCCGCCUUCGUCCUCGACGCCACCGUCUCCCUCUAUAGGUACAGCCGUACAGGUCCCCUCCUGCAUCACCCCAACCUCCCCCUUCUCUCUCUACCCAACCUAAUUACUCGGCUGCUUCGUUGAUCUGCUCUGCACCGCCAGAGCAACCACGACUACGCCGUCGGGUGACCGACGCUUGCCGUUGGCUAUUUUGCCGAUCUCCUCCAUUUCGCCAGGAGACCGAUGCUCGCUGCUUUUGCCUCUUGGCUCACUCUCCCCAAUCCGCGCCGCUAGAUCACCAUCGCCCGGAGUCGCCUGGGUCUGCGUCGCCCACCAAGCUGAUCUCCUCAGCGCCGUCCCAAUAUCUUCCUCUUCCUCGUCCGCCUCCUUCUCCGCCGCCACCAAUCUCUGCCGCCGGAAUAGCAUCAGCACGAAACGCCUCGUCCCUCGCCUUGCUGAUCUCCUCAGCGCUGCCAGAACAAUGUCGCCCCGCUUCGAUCUGAUUCACCGAAAGGUACAAGAUCAUUCCUUUUUUUUAUCCACCAUCAGUACUAUGCUUCAUCUCUCCCCUAUCAGCCGCCGUUGAUUUGAUCAGACGAUUCAACCAAAAGAAAAUAACCAAAAACAACAUUUUGGUAAUGCAUUCUGUGUUAGUGGUAUGUUAUGUGGUAGUAUCACUGAAGAAUUCAUUUAGUUAGAUAAUAGGAGUAAUAACUAAAGUAUUCAUGUCUAUGAACAACGCAUAACUGCCUGCACGUGUCUAAACAUCUCCAAAGGACAAUAGUAUCUGGUUAAUCAGGAUUAUUCUGGAUGGUUUUUCUCUUACUGUAGAACCAACAUGUAUAUUCACAUAUAAUUUCUAACUGAUGAUAGAACUGACAGGCUAAUAAUUAUUUUAGUAUGGUCACAUUAUGAACUAAUAAUUGUUCUGACUUCUGAACUAAUAAUUAAUCAACUAUACAGCUUCAUAAACACCAUUUGUGAUGUCUCCUGCGAUGUCUGUUUCAGCCUUUCAGUCUGAUGAUUCUUGAUCAUUUGGCUGGAUGUGAAGUUGUCUUCCACACGUCUAAAAAUGAACCUUAGUGGUCAUGUAUAAUCCUGGAAACUGUCUUUAGUUAAUCUAAACUCUUGAUACAUUAGUUAAUCUAAACUCUUGAUACAUUAGUUAAUCUAAACUCUUGAUACAUGUACAGGGUUCAAAUGCUUUUCUAGCUUCUCAAUGAAAUUAUAACACCAGGUAUGAUCAUCUAUUUCCCUUGGUUUUGAAUUAAAUGAAAACCAGAUAGGUAUCAACCUUUGCAUAGUAAACUCUAUUUUCUAAUUGUCAUCUGCCAUAAUUCACUCUAUAUUAUGCACACAUCGAAUAUCGAAUAGUACUGACUAUAUUUUUUGGAACAUAGUGAUCAUUUAGCAGUUAAGAAAUGGUUAUUGAUAGUCCACAUUCUGCAGAACUGGACAGGGGAUGGGGCUCCUUUUGGCAUUAUUAGUCAGGAGAAUGUUCUGCUCUGCAUUUUCCUUUUCACUGUACUGAACUUAUACCAUCUGUUGCUAUUCCUUCGCAUAGUGACAAUUUCAAUGGCUUUUUUUUGCCAUGAAAUUUCAAAGGCCUUUACAAGGAUAAUAUGACCUGACCUUCUAUUAACAUUGCAUUUGGGACUGCUGCUUGUUGACCACUUUACUGUACUGGGCAAUCUGAUAUCAAUAUGGAAUUUAAAUUUGAUAAGGCAAAAUUCAUUCUCUUCGGAGAUCAAUAUGGAGAGUCAAGAAUCAAGAUAGCUACAUCAUAUUUUUGAUAAUUCAUACUAUUUCAAUUGGAUAUGAAAUUUACUUCUUGUGGAUUUCUUUUAUUCAUAAAAUAUGCUAAUUUUUUUUUGCAGUUUGAGUAACCUUUAUUUUCGUGACUACAGGUAAAAAAAAAUCACUUACAUGGGCUCAUCAAUAUGUUAAAUCUUUUCACGAUCAACAUUAGCUUUAUCAUCUUAGCUAGCCAAGCCCUGAAGGUACAGAGUAAUCACUAUCCCCUAACUCUGAUGAAAAUGCCAUGUUCUUCACUCUCCAUCUUUAUCCCUGCAAAUCAGCAAUGGCUGGCCCUUCUAUUCAUUUUUGUAUCUAAGUUUAGAAAUUACUCCAGGGUAAAUCCAUAUGUUGAAUUUCUUUACUGGGAGAGCUAAUUAGUUGAUGCGGGAAAUAAUUUUCCCUCCUGGACUCACUUCUGAACUCUCUGCAGGCAAUGUACGUAUUAUUAGGGAUGAUGGAACUCUAAAGUUACCAUUCUUGUUCCUUGUGCUACUUGACAGUCAACUGACCAUUUGGAAUAUGAUACUGUAAUUUAUAUAUGUAUAUACAUAAAUAUCGUGUUUAUUUUGUUUCCAUACAAGACAUUGGAAAUUUCCCUAUAAGACAUUGGAAAAGAUUGAGAGAGCU